ensembl:snoRNA
GCUGUACAAUGAUGAGACUUUGGCUCCCUCUACUGAUAUUUGUGAGGAAAACAGCCAUAUGUUACCCAAUACCUCUGAGAGUACAGC